ACGACAAGCUUGCCCAGAGGGCUGAGGUCCUAUUCUUAUCACCCCGGAAACCCCACGGGGGGGGGGGGUGCCAGAACCUAUAGCGUGUAUACUACUACGCCUUCCAUCGGAGGGCAUCGAUAUUAAACUGAUUUGUGGAACUGGGUGAGAGAUUUGAAGCUUGCUCCAUUCUCGCCACGGGUUAACCCGGUAUUGCGGUACUUCCGGGACUGGCCCACAACUC